UUUGCUGUAAGUUUCACGCUGUGGAACUGCAUAGAUAUAAAAACAGUCCAACAUGGACAAGUCAGCUGAAGGAUGUGUGUGUGGAAGAGGUUAAGGAGUAGACAGAUGUGCGGGUGUUUUGAUGCGUGAAGGAGAAGAACAAUGCAUCCUAAUCCAAGAAGUUUUAAGCCUCUUUAAGAAAUGUCAUAUAACAUCCUAAAGGAUAUCAUGUGAAUCCUGUCAUUUGUUACAGAUGUGUGUUAAUGACCAUAAGAACUCUAAUGCUGAUGAUGGGUCUUAUAAGCACUACAAGCUUAUUUUACUGG